CGGACGGGUGAGUAAUGUCUGGGAAACUGCCCGAUGGAGGGGGAUAACUACUGGAAACGGUAGCUAAUACCGCAUAAUGUCUGACGGACCAAAGCGGGGGACCUCCGGGCCUCGCGCCAUCAGAUGAACCCAUAUGGGAUUAGCUAGUAGGUAAGGUAACGGCUUACCUAGGCGACGAUCCCUAGCUGGUCUGAGAGGAUGAUCAGCCACACUGGGACUGAGACACGGCCCAG
rnacentral:rRNA from 1 species